rnacentral:rRNA from 1 species
CCUACGGGGGGCAGCAGUGGGGAAUAUUGCACAAUGGGCGAAAGCCUGAUGCAGCAACGCCGCGUGAGCGAUGAAGGUCUUCGGGUCGUAAAGCUCUGUCCUAAGGGAAGAAUACUGACGGUACCUUAGGAGGAAGCCCCGGCUAACUACGUGCCAGCAGCCGCGGUAAUACGUAGGGGGCUAGCGUUAUCCGGAAUUACUGGGCGUAAAGGGUGCGUAGGCGGCCCUUCAAGUCAGAGGUGAAAGGCUACGGCUCAACCGUAGUAAGCCUUUGGAACUGUAGGGCUUGAGUGCAGGGGGGGAGGGUGGGAUUCCCAGUGGUGCGGGGAAAUGGGUAGGAAAUGGGGGGAACCCCAAGUGCGAAGGCGGGUCUCUGGACUGUAACCGGCGCUGGGGCAAGAAAGCGGGGGGAGCGAACAGGAUUAGAUACCCUAGUAGUC